rnacentral:lncRNA from 1 species
CCCACUUUGAUCAGAUUAGGUAUUUUAAAGAUUAUAUUUUUCAUGAUUUUAUUGAAUUAUCCACAUGAUAAUCUUAGCAUGAUUUGAUCUGAUCGAUCAAAUUUGUUGAAUCAUAUCGUCUGAGGAGUCCAAGAUGAAUUUUCUCUCUCUAAAAUUUUCUCUCUCUAGAAUUUUUUCUCUCUAAAAUCAUUUCUCUCUCAAUCGAUUUCUCUCUCUUGAUCGAUUUAUCAAUGAAAAAAUUCUUUUAAUAUUUCUGAUCUGAUGAAGAAUCUUGAUCCAUGAUUGUUGGAUAGUGUAUUGACACCCACCUUGAUCAGACCAUGAAUCUUUAGAUUUGAUCAUCCAUGAUCCCGAUCUAGUCAUGACUUGAUUUGAUCAUGUUGAUUUCACCAAUCAAGAUAUUGGACUAAUCGUAAUGUUGGAUUGUGUCACCUGAUCAAUUCGAAUUGUACCUCAUGAAUUCUCUCUCCACUUGAUUUUAUGAAAUCGAUGAAGAAACCUCGGUCUUAUCACUUCUUAUCCGAUUUGAUCUGAUAGUCAAACUUUGGAUCGUUUAGGUCCUAAUUAGAUUUUGAUUAAAUGAAAUUAGAUGAUCGGACCCAAUCUAAACCAUUGAAAUAUGAUAUUCGUAUUCUUUCUAAUUAUUGAAAUUGAUUCUGUAUAGGAUUGUGGAUGUUUGAUCAUGGGAUAUCGCAAUAUGAUCUACGAACAAAAUUUUUGAAAGAAAAUUUAUAGAAUUAUGUGGAUUUAUUGGAAUGCGUUCGAGGUAAGUAAUGUUUCAUUUUUUUUAGAUUUAUCGACAAAUUAUAAUAUAUUUUUCUGACAUGAUUUGUGAAAUGAUGCAUGAAUUGGAUGAAUAAUAUUCUAUUAUGAAAAUAUCUUAUUUGAAAUGUUAUGAUGAAGCAUGAUUGAAUAUAUUGAUUUUAUAAUGUAUUAUAUUGAUUGAUUUCGAUACUACAUGAUUAUAUAUUUUAUUAUCAAAAUUAGAUUAUGAAAUAUGAUUUAUGAAGAAUUCUAAUAUAGGAACAAUAUGAAUUGACAACCUGACUAUGUAAAGGACCCUGCCAAUGGGGGUAUGUAUGUUGGCAAUUGAUUUGUCCUGAGGAUUUAUGUCGCCAGAGAGACCAGCGACAAACCGCCAAAGAGACCAGCGGUUCCGAAGGACUUUGCUGCCAGAUGAUUCGCAACUCACCGCAAGAAGAUACGCAGUGUUAUGACCCUGUCACAGAAAAAAUGUGGUCAUAGCUCAUGGUUGACGAAAAGAAUUUAAGAAUGAAAGAAAUUAAAAUCUGGAAAGAAAUUUGAAUUUUCGAAAAAGAAAUGAAUUUGACAUGAAUUAUGUUGCAUAAUUGAAAUUGAUUUUGAAUUGAUGAACUCUAUAUGCUUAUUUUCUAUAAAUAAUUACUUACUUAAAUACCUGAUGAAAUCUGUUGAAAAGUGAUCAUUGCUUACUGAACUGUCUAGCUCAUUACCUCUUAUUUUACUGUUUUUACAGAUGUUGAGGAAUUAAGAUGAUACAAGAUAUGAAUGG